rnacentral:rRNA from 1 species
AGCUGGUUCUCCCCGAAAUAGCUUUAGGGCUAGCCUUGUGGAAGAGUCUGGCGGAGGUAGAGCACUGAAUGACGGCGGGGGCAUAGAGCCUACCAAAGUUUAUCAAACUGCGAAUGCCGCACAGAUGUUACACAGGAGUCAGACUAUAUGAGAUAAGUUAGAUAGUCAAAAGGGAAAAAGCCCAGACCAUCAGCUAAGGUCCCGAAGUGUGUGUUAAGUGGAAAAGGAUGUGAGACUUCGAAGACAACUAGGAUGUUGGCUUAGAAGCAGCCACGCAUUGAAAGAGUGCGUAAUAGCUCACUAGUCGAGAGGACUUGCGCCGAAAAUACACGGGGCUAAAACACACCACCGAAGCUAUGGAAUACAGGAAUGUAUUGGUAGGGGAGCAUUGUGUGAGGAAGAAGCGUAAGCGGAAGCGAACGUGGACGAAACAGAAGAGAGAAUGCCGGAAUGAGUAGCGAGAUAGAAGUGAGAAUCUUCUAGGCCGAAAAUCUAAGGGAUCCAGAGUAAAGCUGAUCUGCUCUGGGGAAGUCGGGACCUAAGGCGAGGCUGAGAAGCGUAGUCGAUGGAUAACAGGUUGAAAAUCCUGUACCGUAAGUAAACAGAACUGUGGGGACACAGGAGGAUAGUAAGAUCCGGGAAUGGGAAAACCGGAACAAGCACAAAGGUACUGAGGUAGGCAAAACCGCCUGAGUGAACUGAAGUGUGACGUGGACUGAAAUGAAGUAAGGAAGCUUAUGAAUCCAAACUGUCAAGAAAAGCCGCUAUAGAUUUACUUACGCCCGUACCGCAAACCGACACAGGUAGAUGAGGAGAGAAUCCACAGGCCGGCGGGAGAAGCGUUGUUAAGGAACUAGGCAAAAUGACCCCGUAACUUAGGGAGAAGGGGUGCCUCGAAAGAGGCCGCAGAGAAGAGGCCCAAGCGACUGUUUAACAAAAACACAGGUUUCUGCGAAACCGGAAGGUGAAGUAUAGGAGCUGACGCCUGCCCGGUGCUGGAAGGUUAAGGGGAGACGUAAGGGAAACCGAAGCGUUGAACUUAAGCCCCAGUAAACGGCGGCCGUAACUAUAACGGUCCUAAGGUAGCGAAAUUCCUUGUCGGGUAAGUUCCGACCCGCACGAAAGGCGUAACGAUUUGGGCACUGUCUCAACAACGCACCCGGUGAAAUUGAAGUGCCAGUGAAGAUACUGGCUCCCCGCGACAGGACGGAAAGACCCCAUGGAGCUUUACUCCAGCUUGA